rnacentral:rRNA from 1 species
AUUGAACGCUGGCGGCAGGCCUAACACAUGCAAGUCGAGCGGAUGAAGGGAGCUUGCUCCUGGAUUCAGCGGCGGACGGGUGAGUAAUGCCUAGGAAUCUGCCUGGUAGUGGGGGAUAACGUCCGGAAACGGGCGCUAAUACCGCAUACGUCCUGAGGGAGAAAGUGGGGGAUCUUCGGACCUCACGCUAUCAGAUGAGCCUAGGUCGGAUUAGCUAGUUGGUGGGGUAAAGGCCUACCAAGGCGACGAUCCGUAACUGGUCUGAGAGGAUGAUCAGUCACAUGGGAAAUGAGCAACGGUCCAGACUCUUAGGGGAGGCAGCAGGGGGGAAUAUUGGACAAUGGGCGAAAGCUUGAUCAGCCAUGCCGCGUGUGUGAAGAAGGUCUUCGGAUUGUAAAGCACUUUAAGUUGGGAGGAAGGGCAGUAAGUUAAUACCUUGCUGUUUUGACGUUACCAACAGAAUAAGCACCGGCUAACUUCGUG